CUGCGUAGGUGGCAUAGUAAGUAGAUGGUGAAAUCCUGGGGCUCAACCCCUUCAACAUCAUCUAAACUGCUAAGCUAGAGGGCGAGAGAGGUAGCUGGAAUUCCUUGUGUAGGAGUGAAAUCCGUAGAUAUAAGGAGGAACACCGAUGGCGUAGGCAGGCUACUGGCUCGACCCUGACACUAAGGCACGAAAGCGUGGGGAGCGACCG
rnacentral:rRNA from 1 species